UACGAAGGGUGCAAGCGUUACUCGGAAUUACUGGGCGUAAAGCGUGCGUAGGUGGGUCGUUAAGUCUGAUGUGAAAGCCCUGGGCUCAACCUGGGAAUGGCAUUGGAAACUGGCGACCUAGAGUGCGGUAGAGGGUAGUGGAAUUCCCGGUGUAGCAGUGAAAUGCGUAGAGAUCGGGAGGAACAUCCGUGGCGAAGGCGACUACCUGGACCAGCACUGACACUGAGGCACGAAAGCGUGGGGAGCAAACAGG
rnacentral:rRNA from 1 species